CGCGUAGGCGGGCCUUCAAGUCGGAUGUGAAAACCGGCGGCUUAACCGCCGGCCUGCAUUCGAUACUGUAGGUCUUGAGUACGGAAGAGGAAAGCGGAAUUCCAGGUGUAGCGGUGAAAUGCGUAGAUAUCUGGAAGAACACCAGUAGCGAAGGCGGCUUUCUGGUCCGAUACUGACGCUGAAGCGCGAAGGCUAGGGUAGCAAACA
rnacentral:rRNA from 1 species